rnacentral:rRNA from 1 species
CUUGACUGUAUCCUGGAAUUGGGUUCGGGCUCUUCUUGCGCAGCCUAGGUGGGAGGCUAUGAAGAUUUCCUUCCGGGGAAGUUGGAGCCAUCAGUGAGAGACCACUCUGGAGAGGCUAGAAUCCUAAUGGUGAUCCUUGAAUCAGGACACUUGACAGUUUCAGGUGGGCAGUUUUUCUGGGGCGGAAGCCUCAUAAAGGGUAACUGGGGCGCGCAAAGGUCCCCUCAGUCUGGACGGAAAUCAGACAACGAGUGUAAAGGCGAAAGGGGGCUUGACUGCAAGACCUACAAGUCGAGCAGGAGCGAAAGCUGGCCUUAGUGAUCCGACGGUACCGUGUGGAAGGGCCGUCGCUCAACGAAUAAAAGUUA